AGGGGCAAUGCAUAGAGUGAGUGCAGUGUAAUUGGCAGUGUAUGCAGUGACAGUGAAUGCAGUGAGUGCAGUGUAAUUAGCAGUGUAUGCAGUGAGUGCACUGUAAUUAGCAGUGCAUACAGUGAGUGCAGUGUAUAGGGACAGUGCAUACAGUGAGUGCAGUGUAAUUAUCAGUGCAUAGAGUGAGUGCAGUGUACAGGGGCAGUGCAUACAGUGAGUGCAGUGUGCAGGGGCAGUGCAUGCAGUGAGUGCACUGUAAUUAGCAGUGUAUGCAGUGAGUG